GACGAAGGGGGCUAGCGUUGUUCGGAAUUACUGGGCGUAAAGCGCGUGUAGGCGGUUGUUCAAGUCAGGUGUGAAAGCCUUGAGCUCAACUCAAGAAAUGCACUUGAUACUGGAUGACUAGAGGACCGGAGAGGAUAGUGGAAUUCCAGUGUAGUGGUGAAAUACGUAGAGAUUGGGAAGAACACCAGUGGCGAAGGCGGCUAUCUGGACGGUUUCUGACGCUAAGACGCGAAACGUGGGGAGCAAACAGGG
rnacentral:rRNA from 1 species